rnacentral:rRNA from 1 species
AGUGAACGCUGGCGGCAGGCCUAACACAUGCAAGUCGAACGGAAGCACAGCAAUAGCUUUCUCUUACGGGUGGCGAGUGGCGGACGGGUGAGGAAUACAUCGGAAUAUACUUUUUCGUGGGCGAUAACGUAGGGAAAAUUACGCUAAUACCGCAUUCGACCUACGGGUGAAAUCAGAAGAUCUUCGGACUUUGCGCGAUCGAAUGAGCCGAUGUCGGAUUAGCUAGUUGGCGGGGUAAAGGCCCACCAAGGCGACGAUCCGUAGCGAGUCUGAUAGGGCGGAGAGGCACAGUGAGAGUGAGACACGGACCAGAGACCUAGAGAAGGCAGCAAUGGGGACUAGUGGACGAAGGGGGCAAGACUGAUCCAGCCGUGCCACGUGGGUGAAGAAAGCCUUCGGGUUGGAAAACCCUUUUGUUGUGGAAGAAAGGCAGCAGGUGAGUACCCCGCUGUUGUGACGGUACCCAAAGAAUAAGCACCGGCUAACUUCGUG